rnacentral:SRP_RNA from 2 species
GCCGGGCGUGGUGGCGGGCGCCUGUAGUCCCAGCUACUUGGGAGGCUGAGGCAGGAGAAUGGUGUGAAUCCGGGAGGCGGAGGUUGCAGUGAGCCGAGAUGGCACCACUGCACUCCAGCCUGGGCAACAAAGUGAGACUCUGUCUCAAAAAUAAAUAAAUAAAUAAAUAACAAUAGCUGGCCUAUAAUGGGUGCUUUCUUUUUUUUUUUUUUUUUUUUUGAUACGGAGUCUCGCUCUGUCGCCCAGGCUGGAGUGCAGUAGCGCGAUCUCGGCUCACUGCAAGCUCCGCCUCCCAGGUUCAAGCCAUUCUCCUGCCUCAG